AUGAAGUGUGACUUCCCGCACACCCGGGAGCCUGAGCCAGCCUGGGCGCAGCUUAUCUCCUUCCUCAGCCUGAUGUUUGUUUUAGGAAAAAUCAAAGCACGGUCCCCUUCUGCUCUCUUCAAACAGAGCAGGAGUGAGCUGGCUGCUGCUGGGGCAGGGGGCCUGCUUUGGGGUGCAGAGGGGUCAGCCUGGAGCUCCCCUCUUCUCUGUCCCCCGCUGCUUGCCCGUGUGCCCCUUCCCUGCGCUGAUGGCAUCAGAUUGCGUCAGAGGCCCCAGGCUCCGGCCAGCCACGCAUCCACCAGUCUCUCUGCAUCCAGCUCUGGGAGACGAGGCUGCAUGGAGUUCACCCACGUCUGAGGACCUCCUGGUUUCCAGAGCCUUGUCUGUGAGAUGUCAAAGAGGUGAAAGUAAUAGGCUCGGAUCACAUGGUCUUCCUAAGUGGCACUAGCGGAAAAGAAUUCACCUGCAAUGCAAGA